GGGUCAGUAGGUUGGUCGUGCCACCGGUACGUACUGGUCUCACUGAUUCCUCCUUCCUGAAGAACCGUAAUGCCAUUAAUUUGGUGUUGCGGGGAAACAGGACUGUUACUUUGAAAAAAUUAGAGUGUUUAAAGCAAGCUAACGCUUGAAUACAUUAGCACGGAAUAAUGAAAUAGGACGAUCGAUCCUAUUUUGUUGGUUUCUAGGAUUGACGUA
rnacentral:rRNA from 1 species